rnacentral:lncRNA from 1 species
GUGGAGGGCAUGUGGUAUUUCAGCCUCCACCCAGCUGCUGAACAGACAGGCACACACUGAACAGCCUCACCCGCCACAGCCUUGCUCUCAAGCGUUCUGCUUUCCUGCAUCAGCAGAAAUAAGGGGACCAAUUUAUCAUACCUGCUGGGUGCCAGAUGACGUAACUACGGCUUUGGGAUGUUACGCAACGAGUAAGGCCUUGUGAGUCUUCACAGAAAGGGACUGGCCUGGAGGCUCCGAGCGGUCAGCUAGUUCCCGUCACUGUUCUCCCCGGGAAGCUGUGGAUGGGCAGUGACCCAGGCAGGGAAAGGGUAAGAAUCGCUGCUUGAGGACCCAAGAGGCUUCACCUCCCUCCUCAGACAGGAACCCGGGAAAGGGCUUUGCCCGGGAAGGUCUAUGAUAGGGAUUCUCACAGUGAGACAGGACCAGCAUCUCCUGAGACAAACUACUGCUCUUGAAUUUGAAAAGAAUUCUCAAGUCUGCGUCUCAUCUCUAAUUCUUUCUACCACUGUGUCUUUUUCCCAGUUGGCAUUGGCAGCCACGAAACAGCUUGAGGGGCCAGGCGCGGCGGCUCACGCCUGUAAUCCCAGCACUUUGGGAGGCCAAGGUGGGCGGCUCACCUGAGGUUGGGAGUUUGAGACCAGCCUGACCAACAUGCAGAAACUCCGUCUCUACUAAAAAAAAAAAAAAAAAAAUACAAAUUAGCCAGGUGUGGUGGUGCAUGCCUGUAAUCCCAGCUACUCGGGAGGCUGAGGCAGGAGAAUCACUUGAACCCAGGGGGCGAAGGUUGCAGUGAGCCAAGAUUGCACCACUGCACUCCAGCCUGGACAACAAGACCGAAACUCCAUCUCAAACAAAACGAAACGAAACGAAACAAAACAAAACAAAACAAAAACAGCUUGAGGACCAGAUAGGGCAUCAAAAGCGGAGAAAGCUGGGGAACUCUGUGUCCUCUGAAUCCAGUUCAGAUGGAAAGGAAGCCCCAGAGGGAGGACAGGUGGGGGCAGCUGGAAAGACAAGACCAGGCUCCCCUUCUUGGGUGUGGAGGGAGACAGUGGUCGGGACCCCCAGAGAGGGCAGAGCACCGGGCUGGCCGGUGGGGUGGGGUUCCCCGCAGGAGGCCUGUGCCGCCGGCUGUGUGGCCUGCGGAGGAGCCUGCCGAGCCUGCCGAGCCCCGCAUCCGGUGGGAAGUAGGAGUCUGGCACUUCCGGCUCGGGCUGCUGCAGCGGUUCCGGGCAUCUGCGCUAUUAGAAUUCUCCCGGCUCGCGGCGGCCGCAGGAAUCCAGUCACGUGGUAGACGUGGUGCCUGGGAGCCGGGGUCAGCGAGCGCUCAGUCUGAGAGAAAACGUGUUCCUUCCCCCUGAGACGUGUCCCGUGCCGGGCGAUGGCUCGCGGCAAACCUCCGCUCCCACAGGGAAGGAGCCCUGUGAGGCCUGGCCUGGGAGCUCUCGGGAGCGUGGGUGGAGAUAGAGAUGAAUCUACAAAAUGGAAAAAGUGUUGAACUUGGGAGUCAAGAGACCAGGAUUCUAGUUCUGAUGAUGCCCUUCACAUACCGAAUGCCCUGGGGAAGCCGCUUCCCUUCUCUCAGCCUUGGGUUCUCCAUGUGUCAAAUUAGGCUGUGGAAAAAGAAACACUCAUCUGGCUGAACGGAGACAUGAGCCUCUGUAAACUGAUUCUUCCUCCACAAAGGGGCCCUGGCCCUCACAGCCCCAUCCUCUUUCAUCCUUGCUGCCUGAUCCUAGGGAAGCUUUGCUCUGGUGGUGCCUGGAGCUGUGAUGUAUGCAGUCAUUUGAAACCCCAGCUUUGUGGAAGACACGAGACAUUGAUUUUUACUCUACCAUUUGGAGAAAAAUCAUUUUUAUAUUAGCAGAAAUGUUGAUAGACAAGGAGCAAAGUUUAAGGUUGGAAUGACUUUAAGAUUCAUUCAUUUUUUAAAAAUUUAUACUUAUUGAGUGCUUACUAUGUGCCAGCCCUGUCCUAGGCCCUUGGGGACUGGUUGGUAAAUAAAGCAGAUAGAGUAGUCGAUAAUGCCUGAUAUAGUUUGGAUGACUGUCCCCUCCAAAUCUCAUGUUGAAAUGUAAUCCCAAUAUUGGAGGCGGGGCUUGGUGGGAGGUGUUUGGGUCUCGUGGGUGGACCCUCAUGAAUGGCUGGGUGCUGUCCUAGAGGCGGUGAGUGCGUUCUCAUGAGAUCUGGUUGUCUAAAAACAUGUGGCACCUGCCCCCUCUCUCUCUCGCUUCCACUCUCACCAUGUGACACCCAGCUCCUGCUUCACCUUCCACUGUGAUUAAAAGCUUUCUGAGGCCCUCACCAGAUGCUGAUGCCAGCACUAUGCUCCCUGUACAGUCUGUAGGACCAUGAGCCAAUUAAACUUUUUUUUCUUUUCUUUUCUCUUCUCUUCUCUUCUUCUCUUUUCUUUUUGAGAUGGAGCCUUGCUCUGUCACCCAGGCUGGAGUGCAGUAGCGCCAUCUCAGCUCACUCCAACUUCUGCCUCCUGGGUUCAAGCGAUUCUCCUGCCUCAGCCUCCCAAGUAGCUGGGACUACAUGUGUGUGCUACCACGACCAGCUAAUUUUUUAUGGGUUUCACCAUGUUAGCCAGGAUGGUCUCAAUCUCCUGACCUCGUGAUCCACCCUCCUCGGCCUCCCAACGUGCUGGGAUUAUAGGCGUGAGCCACUGCACCCAGCCAAUUUCUAGUGUUUUCUUUUGAUUCUUUCUUAGAGUUUCCAUCUCUGAGCUUACAUUAACUCUAUGUCCUUGCAGUAGAAUCCUGCAUGUAUUAAUCAUAGUCAUUUUAAAUUCCCUGUCUGAUCAUUCCAGCAUUUGCAUCAUAUCCAGAUCUGGUUCUGGUGCUUGCUCAUUUCUUCAGACUUUGCUUUUUCUUGCCUUUUAGCAUAGCUUAUAACAUUUUUUGAAAGCCAAAAAUGAUGUAAUUGAGUAAUAGAAACUGAUGUAAAUAGCCCAUCAGUGUGAGAUUUAUGUUAAUCUGGCUAGAAGUUGGGCCAUGUAUAAUGUUUUCUGUAUGCUGGGGCUUAGAAACCAAUACCCCAAAAUACGGCAUUUUGACAUGCUGAGCUGAAGAAGCUUCCAGGUCUCUCUGACCUCCCUCAUCACUUUCUCUGCCAUAUAACUUGAAGUUCCUUUAUCUGCCUAUCUACUGUGGAAAAUGAGUCCAACAACCUAAGCACACCUGAACAGACACGUUACAGGUACAGUGACUGUCUCAGAGUCCUGAAUCGAUUCACUCUUCCUAGUAAUCCUCUCAAGAGAAUUCCUCUUCUGCCCGCUACCAUAGCCUGUUUGAUCAGGAUGCAAGCCCCCAUUCUAUCGGUAACCUCGAGAUGGUAUACAAGCUUUUGUACAUCACUGGGAGGUUGGGUCUUCAUUCUGAAGGCUCCCAUGUAUACACAUUAAAUAAAUCUGUAUGCCUUUUCUCCCAUU